AAAUAGAUGCAUGCUUCUGUGAAGGAUGAAAUGUUGGGCAAAAAAACAGCAAUCUCUCCAACUUGUAGAAGGCUUCUCCAUAUCCGUAUUUUUAAUUCUUCUGAUGCCAGAGCCUGACCUGUGUUUGGGCAUGCCAUCAUGUUGGAGGUACUACGUGAUACAGAAAUCAUACACAGCCUGCUGUUAGUCUAGGAAAGAUCCUUGGGACAACUUUCCACACCAGCCAGCUGCGCUUUUUAGCCAACCAUCUCUCCCACCAUUUUGACUCUCCA
rnacentral:lncRNA from 1 species